UUGCAUCGUGAAGCGAGGGAGGGGUUUUACCCCCUUGGAGACUCCGCUCUCCGCCUGCGUUGCCUUGCCUUGGCUUUGAGGCUUGCUUUGUUGUUGCGUUACAGCAGCUGGACUAUUGGUCCAUAGACAAGCCGCCGAAGCCCUUGAUUGGAAUCCAAGGAUUCUACGCCAGAGCAUGUGCCUUGUAGUGGGAGAGAGUUCGUUCGCCGCAUGGAUCGGUGGUGGCCGAUGAUUGAGUGACGGCGGUUGCUGGCGUUAAUUUUACGAAAGCGGCGCAGGGAGAGAGGGAGUGAGGGAGGGAGGGACGGCGGGGGGCAGGUGGUGUGUUCCACGGGAGAGAUGAGCUUACUACGAAGUGUGCUCUCUAGUUAAGAGUGGAGCUGACGAUUUGCGUUUUAGCUGCGGUGUUGUAUUAACACGCUUGAAGUGAGGUGAGGAGUCCGCCAGCGACGCGAGGAGAGCUUAUCUGUCCUCUUGCUCUGUGUCGCGAUGAGCAGUUUGCGAGUCAAAGACGAAGAUGUUUGUGCGAAGGAAAUUGAAUUGGUACAGGAUCGUUACUUGUAUGCGGUGUGCAAAACGGACAAGGAACGCCGAGGCGAAGUGCACGAAUUGGACUCAGGGGGGUAGAAGCAGGAGGAGACGACGACGUCGGGUUGGGGCUGGGAGAGUGGAGUGGAAGGAUUGUGGCGUUGUAUCAUAGAUCAGUUAGCGUGGCGACUUGGGUCGUAAAAAGUCUUGGUUGUUGUUUUUUCAUUUUCCAGGGGUUCCUGUUCCUGGUUCUGAACAGAAAAUUAGGUUGAGCGUUGUGACGCUUUGACAAGGAGAGUGUAAUUAGGAGGAGUAAGGCGUGGAAUUGAAAGUGAACUCUGAGAAACGAAAAGUUCCUGUAGUUCUUAGCUAUGAUUCGAGGAUUUCACAAUUUGCUGCCGAGCGUGCCCUCAUCUCCGCGGCCAGCAGCUUCAAAAGCAGGGGAGUGCAACGCGUGUGACUGCACUGGAUUGAUAUCCUCUCAGGCGUUACCAAAUUCAGUCUCCGCAACUUGCACUUGUGAGACUUUGGAAGGGCAUGAUAUAUUUGGAAGUGAGUCAGUGUUCAAGGUUCACGAGAAUCAGUUGAACGUUCUUGACGAUUGGGAAUUCGCCGGGGACGAAGAGAAGGAGGUCAAGGAGCGGGUCGAGGCAACCGACGGAACGUCACAUUUUCUCACGUCAGACGCAGUCAGAGUUCCUGCUGAAGAAUCCGCUUUGGUCUAUGAAGAGGUUAACCCUGUCAUUUCAAGUUUGGAGGUCCGAACCAACGUUGCUGGAUACCUCGAUGAAGAACUUGGCCAGUCAAGGAACUGUGACUGGUUGGAGCCACCAUCUCCCUCUGGUUGUGUCGCAACGCAGGAGGGCAAUCGCCAGAUAGGUGAUGAAGGAGUCAUGCUUGAGGCCUUUCAACAGUUUCAACAAAGCCCGCAGAUUCAAAAAAUGGUUGUAGAAUUAGCCACCGAUGCGCGGGUGUGGCAAGCUGUUCUCGCCAACAAGAAGCUCCAGCAGUACAGGGUCGGUGAUGCUGAAGGCGACUUUGAAGCUGGUAUUAUUCUCAAGGGACAUGGCAUCGACUACGCCGCACCUCGAAGCAAGGUGAUUUCGAACUUUGUUCUGUUAUCACACAAUGCAGCGCGCGAUCUGAAGGAGGGAUUGUGGGACCAUGUUAGAGGAGCUAUUGAAGUGUUAGACAAGAGGACGCAGACAGAAACACACAAAUUGAUGAAGGAGUUUAUGCAUCGAAUGCUCAUGAUGAUGGCAUUGUUUAUGCUCAGUUUAAUUAUCUUCUUGUCCCUCCUUCCGCUCCAAGUAUCUUAAGGCGCCUGAUGAGUUAGGUUCAAUUCUUCCAUCUGAAGUUGGACGCUGUUCAAACAACGACAAUAUUCUGUGUCCUUAAUUCUGGAUCACAACUGACGCCUUUGAAAGAGUGGGGAUGAUUGAAGUCGACCUUCCCUCGUCCUUAUUCACAUGCAGUUUAUGAAUUUGGGCAGCUUUAAUGGUUUCGGCAAGUAUGUGAUAUCUUGAAAACUAUCCUAAGAAUUUUAACGGACAAGUUCUGAAUCAGAUGAGGGAUGUUGCAGACUUGAGAUUUUGUACUUGGUGUUGGUAGUAUUCAGGGCUCUGGCGUAUCUCCUCCGUAGUCUGGAGCGCGUCUUCGACCUGUUAACAAGAAUCUCUUACCAAGUAUCACCAACUAUACAUUGUCCCUACUUUUUAGAUUGUGGUUCAAGGUUAAGCCUUAACGUGAGAGUCCUGGGAAGCACGUUUUGCUCUAUCUCAACGUUCUCUGCAUGCCUUUCGUGGAUAGCGGCAUCUCAACUACAACAACCC